CUCCAAUCCUCUUUCACAAGCCCGUUCGAUACCAAAACCUUAGUAACCGAACACCUCGGGAUAAUCCUCUUCUCAAGGCUGAAGAAGAGCACCACUGGACACUGUGCGAUCGAUCUAGGCGCCAUAUUCAUCUCAUUCACAAAAUAUUCCAUCGUUCUGUUAAUCUUCCUCUCAGACAACAUCAUACAAUGAGGGUGCUUCUUGAACGCACACAUGAUAUCAUCUUCCGACCAUCCCCAUCUCUGAUAAACCUCAAAACAUUUGUCCCAUAUCGAUUUGUUUCCUUUCCCAGAGAGAGCAUGAAUGGCCAACACAAAUGUUGAUUUUUGAGGAUUGAACCCCAUCUCUUGAGCUUGCUUAGCAAUUGCUUGGAACUCAUGGUUCUUCUGCAUCACAGCUUCAGGAAAAUGCGUGAGAAGCAGCUUGAUACAUUUCUCAGG